GCCCCUUCCUUCAAUCAAGAAAUAACCUCACUACACCCAGCUGUGGGAGAGAAUAAAAAUCCAAGACUUCCCAAAGGCUGAGCUGAGAGCAAAGAGGCUGCUUCUCUCGUGGCCCAGCCUCGCUCUCUGCAGGUCCCCCAGCUCACACUGUACGGCCCACAGACCUCCAUCUGCUUGACCAGCCUGCUGCGGUCAUCUUUGAGGUGACUCUUGGCUUCCAGCUCAUACUCCAGGUCCUUCAGCGUCUGCUCCAGAAGCUGCCUUUUUGUGGCACUCAACUAACAGCUUUGAAGAAAGCGCAACAGACAAAACAGCUUGAUUCACAAGGGCCAGUCAGUGUCUUGAACUUCUCUAGAAGCUCCCUGGGGAGACCAGCCAGCUCAGGGCACAGUAGGUCUUCCUUAAACAUCUGUGUGGGCUGAUCUGGUGAAGCCGCAGGCUGUCUGCUUUGUUCUAAGUGUCCUACCCUCUUGGAGUUGGUACUAGUAUUGAGUAGAGCUAGUCUCAUGAAUAGAAUAAUACACCAGGGGGUCUGUUUCCUUCAGAGUAUAUGAAAGUGAAUGGCCAUCUCCGCUACAGAAUGCCACCCUUCUGCAGUGUCUGGCACAGAAGAGUUGGAAAGCCCCAGUAGUUGAGGACAGCUUUGGAGAACCCGUGGAAAAGCUUGAGGAAAUGUGUUCUUCUCUGGGAGGCUGACAGGAGCACUGGGCAUUUCUAAGAGAACAGCCUAGCCUUGAAGAUGACAUCUCCAGAUGAAGACCCACAUCUGGUUUUAGUGGUUACCAUGACAGAAAGUACAUGAAAGCACAGAAUGAAAAUCACCCCAUGGAAAACAGUGAUGGGACAUUUUCUGGAUACAGAGGAUGUGCUAUAUUCCAGAGCGUUAAAAAAACAAAAAACAAAAACGCUCUAUGACUCAGUUUCCUCAUUCACAAAAUUGGGAUAAUUAUAAAAUCAGCCUUCUAAAGCUAUUAUGAGAAUCAAAUGAGAUGAUACCCAGAAAGAACAUGAGUGUGAGGGUCAGAAAGAAUGACAGGCAAAUGUGCAGCCUGCGUUUCCUUCCUGUCCCCCUUCCCAAUGCCCAGCGUGCCCUCCUCCACUGCUCAGCACAGCCCCACCUUCCACACCCAGCAGGUCCCUCCUAACACCCGGUAAGGGCCCCAUCAUACUCAGAGUCCUUGACGAGGGCCGGCAGAAGAGAUUAACUAGCAUGGUGUCUGUGAACAAUGUAUCCUGAAUCAUAAGCAAGCAAACAACUUUUGAACUUCCUAGUGCUACCUUUAAGUAGUUAAAAUCACCCUUUGCUAAAAGAGAUGUAGAAAAUAAACUGAACAAUGGUAAUCACUAAGUCUCGAUUCUCUAAAGAUCAUGCUUAUCAGAGGUAGAAUGGGUGAAAAAUGCCUAUUUCUCUCAAAGCAAAGGCAGCCACUAUUACAGCACUUAGAACGGACUCCUGUAGCUUUUGGGGUUUUUUUUUAACCAAGAUCUUCAACCAGCUCAAUCAAAACACAAGCAGAGGGGCAGUGAACAGAGUUGAGCCUGAGUUUUUUAAGGAUCCAGAGAGACCUUGGCUUGUUAAUUCACUUUUGUUUUAAACAACUCCAUCACUCUACCAACUUAGUCAAGGGUGGUAUCUCACUGCAGUUUCCCUGCAGAAUGAUGAGGUGUCCAUGUCUGUUGCUCACAUGGAAACAGUGUCUCACAGGGCUGCAUCAGUGAGAAAAAUCCAGGAAGGGCCAUCUUUAUUUUCCUUGCAAGGAAUCCUUUUUUUUUUUUGUUUUGGAAGGACUGCUCUUUUAUAAACAAUACUGGUCUCCAUCUGGCCUUAACUAGUCUCUCUGGACCUCAGUUUCCUUAUCUAACUAGAGGAUCUCUAUGUUUCUUUCCAACCCAAGGAUUCUAUCAUAAAAAUCAUUAUAUAAAACGCAACGGGAAGUACUUUUCAGGGGUCAUUGUGACACUGUGAUCUUCUGAAGUCAAAUCAGACCAGGUGCUUGUUGGUGUUCUGGCAGAUACCUGAAUCCUUCUGCCUCUGUGCUGUAGUAAUGAAUGUGAUUUUUUUUUUUUUAAUACCAAAGAGAACUGUGAUGUCAGUGCGCUAAUUUCACUGCUUACUUGGAGUCCUGUAUCACAUAACCCUGAGCCAAAGGGGAUCCAUUAUCAGGGGCCUUUCAAGAGUGUUCUAGAAGCCUGCAAUAAAUAUCUAUUGUUCUUUUACACAGUUUCAGCACUGACUCAUGGGUGACUUUUCUUUGAUCAUCAAAGAAAUUAAAGUUUGUUUUUUAAAGAAAAAAAUGUUUUCCUGUGGAAUCUUGGUGCUCUCGGCACUGUUCAUGAAAAAUAAGCCCCUAAAAUUAAAGAAAAGGAAAUUAAUAUUUAUGAAGUGUCCGGGAUGUACAGACUCGCUGCUACACAGUCUCACAUAUUAACUCAUUUAAUUAAGUCACUAAUAUUUGGUAUAUUUUUAAAGAGGUAGAAACAUAUGCUCAGAAAACUGGGGUUAAGUUGCUCAAGGUGACCCAGUUGGCAAGAGGUAUAGCUA
rnacentral:lncRNA from 1 species